GAGUCCUUUUAAGACAAGUUAAGGAACAGGAUAGGUCAUAUUUUGGUAGGAUGAUCAGGAAAGGAUUCCCUAAUAAGGUGACAUUUUGUCACAGAACCAUGUAAAGCAUGGGAGUGAGCCAUGAGGAUGCCUGAGGGAUGAGUGUUCCAGGCAGAAGGAAGGGUAAGUGCAAAGUCUGACAUGGGACUGUUCUUGGCAUGUUAGGCGAACACUGAAAGGAGGCCUUUUUUGGUUGGAAUAAAAUUAGAGAGGGAGAGGACAAUUGAAAAUAACAUCUGAAAGAUACCUGGGGGUAAGAUUAUGCUGGGUCUUACAGAGCAAUGUAAUAAUGUUGGAUUUCAUUCUGAGUGGGAUGAGAAGCCAUCAGAGGGGUUUGAGUUUAGAAAUCACAUGAUCUGACUUUUGUAUUCAAGCAAAGAAACAAACAGACAAAAAAGGAUCACUGUAAGAUGAUGUGUGGAAACAGAAGAUCAGUUCAUUGGCUAUUUAGAAUAAUUCAGGUGGAAGAAGAUGUUGGUUUGAACUAGGGUGGCAGUGAUGCUGAGGCAAAAAUUGGCUGAUUCAGGGUGUAUUUUUCAGACAGAGUGGAAGAACUUGCUCAUGGAUUUGAUGUGAAGUAUGAAAGAAACAGAGUAGUCAAGGGGAAUGCCAAGGCCUUUGGUCUGAGCAGUGAAUGAAGGCCCCUUAUUUGAGGCAGGGAGCCUUAGGGGAGGAGCAGGGAUGAGUGGUAAAUCAAGGGUUCAGUCUUGGACAUUUGGAGUUUGAUAUCUAGUGGACAUCGUAGUGAAGAUCCUUAUAGGCUGUUGGAUUUGUGAGUCUGGAAUUCACGGGAGAGGUUCGUGCCAGAGGGAAAGCUUUGGAAGUUGUCAGGUUAUGGGAAGUGGAUGAGAUCACUGAGAGAGUGGGUGCAGACAGAGAAGGGAUACAAGGACUGGGUCCUGAGGCCCUCCAACAUUUAGACGUCAGGAAGAUGAGGAAGACCCAACAAUUGAAAUUGAGGAGAAAAGGCUGGUUCUCAGAAGGAUAACUAGCAGAGCAUAAUGUUCCAGGGGCUAAAUUUAAAAAAAAAAACUGUUUCAAGAAGGAGGGAGUGGGGUGAUAUUAGAGAAAAUGGCAAAGGAAGGGCAUUUGAAAAUUCUGUCCUCCACAAAAACAAUGAAAAACCUGGCAAAAAUAUUCAGAAUCAACUUUUUUUUCCAGAACUCUGCAAACUGACCAAAGGCUUACGGUAACCUGGGGAGUGAAGAGAAAUGGCUGAAUCUCAGGAAACCACGAAGAAAAAAGAAGGGAGUGAUCAACUGGGUCAAAUGCUGCUGAUAGUUUAAGAUGAGAUCUGAGGAUUGACUACUUGAUUUGGCAACAUGGAGAUCACUGGAAGAAAUUUUGAGAUCAGAGGGGAAUUGCUGCAGCAUCAUGCUUCUCACCCAAACGUCCCAGGCAUUGGCAUCUUUGAUUAUUGGGAGAAUAUGUAUAUACGUACAUGUGCAUGUAUGUAUACACAGAUUUGUGUGUGUUUUCAAUAAUACUGUAUUAAUAUAUUAUGCCCAUUAGAAAAGAUACACAAAAAUGUACAUUUUUAGAAGUUUACGAUAAAUUUAAAAGAAAGUCGAUAAUUAAGAUGACGUAUCAUAUAAUCAAUAAUACCUCAGGCACUCAGACACUCAGAGUGAGGUACAUUGUGAAUAAAUCCAUGCUUCAAAUAUCUUCUUGCUAAUUUUGAAUUUUCUGGCUUUCUAUCAGCUGCAGUUAGAUUCAUCCUUGCUCUUACUUUGUAGUGAGUUUAUACCUAGAAGAGUAGUAAUGAUUGUUAUUCGUUGUUUUCUUGUCAUUCUCUCUACCUUCAUUAUUAGUAUUAUCUUCCAACUGGGUUUUUUUGGCCCAGAUUUUAUUUUAACUUUAUUAUGGAGAAUUUCAAACAAACAUAAAGAGACAGAAUAUGAACCCCAAUAUAUCCAUCAUACUCCUUUCUCAGUUAUCAAUUCAUGACCCAUUCUUCCCUCCAGCCCUGUAGCAUUUGGAAACUAAUCCCAUGCAUUUUAUUAUUUCAUCUGGAAAUAAUUCAGUGUGUAUAUCUAAAGCAUAAGGACUCUUUAAAAAAAAACCUAACUACAAUGCCAUUACCAUAACCAAAAAAUAAUUUGAAGGAAUCUUUAACUUGAAGUAAUGAGGGAAUCUUUUCUUAAAAAAAAUUUUAUUGGAGUGUAGUUGAUUUACGAUGCUAAUUUCUGCUGUACAGCAAAGU